UGCUCAGUAACACGUGAAUAUCCUGCCCUAUCGUCUGAAAUAACCUCGGGAAACUGAAAAUAAGGCCGGAUAGUUCACAAUGCCUGGAACGGUUUGUGAAUCAAGGUAGGAUGGUUCUGCGGCGUAUCAGGUUGUAGGGGGUGUAAAGGACCCCCUACCCUUCAACCCGUACGGUUGUUGGAAGACAUAGCCCGAAGAUGGAUUCUAAGACACAAAUCCAAACCCUACGGGGUGCAGCAGGCGCAAAAACUUCACACUGCAGAAAAUUGUGAUGAGGGACCUCCUAGUGCAUGCACUAUGUGUAUGUAGAUCCUACUCUUAACAAGUAGAGGGAAAGGGUUGGAAAAAACCGGUGCCACCCGCCCCGUUAAUACCGGCACCUCAGGUGGUUGUCUUUUUUAUUGGGCCUAAAACGUCCGUAGCCUGUUUGGUAAAUCUGUGGGUAAAUCAAUCCCCUCAACGGAUUGAAUUCUGCAAAAACUGCCAAACUAGGGACCGGAAGAGGUGUGGGGUACUCGAGGGGUAGGGGUAAAAUCCUGUCUUCCUUCGAGGACCACCAGUUGCGAAGGCCCCACACUGAAACGGAUCCGACGGUCAGGAACAAAUCCUAGGGGCACAAACCGAAUUAAAUCCCCGGGUAUUCCUAGUUGUAAACGCUGUGAACUUGUUGUCGGGGGUCCGCAAGGGGCCCCCGCUGCCGGAGUGAAGAUGUUAAUUUCA
rnacentral:rRNA from 1 species